rnacentral:lncRNA from 1 species
CAACAAUGAAUUGAAAUAAAGACAAAAUUUAGGAAAAAGAAAAAAAUCCAUAUACAAAUUCAUAUAACCCUGGACUCUUUCAUAUGCUAAGCCUGGCUCAACUCCUGUGUUGUGGUGGAUUGUGGAUGAGUCCUGUGGAAGACCCUACAUUGCCCUGAGGCUAGUAAUAGCCAAUAAAUAUUGGAAAUGAAGCUUUUAGCACUUCUUUUCUGAUAUUGAGUUGAGAUACUAUUUCCCUAUAUUAUUACUGAGACAAAUGGCUUAGCUAUGGUCCUUUUCUUUGUCUUGAGGGAAGGAAAAACUGUUGUAGUUGUUUUGAGACCUUACUUAAAAAGAAUGAAAAGUUCCACCUACUCUUUCUCCUAGAGGUCACCUUCUGGCACUGCCUGGUUCCCAGAGUAAUUAACGUUGACUUUUUAUGAGUAGGAUUAAGUCCUUCUUCACAUCGUGGUUACUGAAGACUCAUUUUGUCACUCACUAUUCACAUUUACAUCUGCCCUUUUCUACACUUGUAUCAGCAACAAUAAAAACAGCUCUCCUGUGUUGUAUCUAGUAGGUGUUUGCCACUCUAUGGAGAACUUUACAGUAUUAUCUUCUCUGAUUCCCCCAGAAAUCUCAUGAGGUGGUUCAUUUUGCAGCUGAGGUAUCUUCAUGUUACAGAUGAAGAAAUUGGAAUCCAGAAAUUGAGUGGCAGAGUUUAGCCCCGGAAUCCUGUGUUCUCCGUCCUUGAAUUCUUUAUUUCAUUAUAUUAUUUCUUAAUACUGAUUUACCACAGGGAAAAACAUAACCUCUC